GGGUUCUACCGUUGGUCGGGCUAACAAGUCUGUACUAGCGUGUGGAAUUUCUACCUUCUGGGGAACCAUCAUGUUAUUAAUUUAGCGUGGUGGGAAACCAGGACCUUUACCUUGAAAAAAUUAGAGUGUUCAAAGCAGGCUCACGUCUGAAUACAUUAGCAUGGAAUAAUAAAAUAGGACGGUGGUCCUGUUUUGUUGGUUUCUGAAUCACCGUA
rnacentral:rRNA from 1 species